AGAGAAUAAAAAAGACGAGAGGACACGAGGAGGGCAGACGGCAAAGAGAGAUGACACACAUAGAUAGGAGGGAAUGUUGAUGGCUCACUGGUGAGUGAAAAGAAGGAAAAGGACAGAGAGAGGACACAAAGUGGAUUACUUCAACAGUGAUGAAUGCAGCUCGGAUUCAUGACAAACAGAAGCUCAAGCUGUUCUGGGAGCAGAGGAUCGUUCAGCACAGUGAGAUCAUGGACGAGGAGGAGAAUAGAAAAAGGAGCAGCUCAUUGGCACGGGUGGCGGAGGUCAGCUGGUGCCUAUCUCCAGCUUUCUUCAAGAACUAGACUGAGAGAGCAGUGGGUGGUCCUGAUGGAUCAGCGAAAUCAGCACCAGCGAAGCUUCUUUGAGGAGCGCACGAGACGAGUGCAAGAAGUGCAACACCGCCUCAGAAAGUUGAAUUCUUUUUGAACAACAGCAAUCGUUCAUAAGCAAGAAGCACAUCCUUUAGGAGAGACGGAAUUUUGUAUUUCACAAAAAUAUUACAAGAAAACCAGAUAAACUAUUAUAGCAAUCGUCACUAAACAGUGAUGGCGGUUUUGAUAAUGAUGCCAACAACAAUCAUUUGGCUUGUGAUGCACUGUAACUGUAUCUGAUCUUUGAUACGAUCCUUUAAUAUGAAAUACUCAUUCAUACUGGUCUACAG
rnacentral:lncRNA from 1 species